rnacentral:piRNA from 1 species
UCCAAGGCAAAGACGACUCCUAUUUAGGCA